UGGGGAAUUUUGGACAAUUGGGCGAAAGCCUGAUCCAGCAAUGCCGCGUGUGUGAAGAAGGCCUUCGGGUUGUAAAGCACUUUUGUCCGGAAAGAAAUCCUUGGCUCUAAUACAGUCGGGGGAUGACGGUACCGGAAGAAUAAGCACCGGCUAACUACGUGCCAGCAGCCGCGGUAAUACGUAGGGUGCAAGCGUUAAUCGGAAUUACUGGGCGUAAAGCGUGCGCAGGCGGUUUGCUAAGACCGAUGUGAAAUCCCCGGGCUCAACCUGGGAACUGCAUUGGUGACUGGCAGGCUAGAGUAUGGCAGAGGGGGGUAGAAUUCCACGUGUAGCAGUGAAAUGCGUAGAGAUGUGGAGGAAUACCGAUGGCGAAGGCAGCCCCCUGGGCAAUACUGACGCUCAUGCACGAAAAGCGUGGGGAGCAAACAGGAUUAGAUACCCUGGUAGUCCACGCCCCUAAACGAUGUCAACUAGUUGUUGGGGAUUCAUUUCCUAGUAACGUAGCUAACGCGUGAAGUUGACCGCCUGGGGAGUACGUCGCAAGAUUAAAACUC
rnacentral:rRNA from 1 species